GGACCCGCACAAGCAGUGGAGCAUGUGGUUUAAUUCGACGCAACGCGAAGAACCUUACCAGCGUUUGACAUGGAAGUACCGGUUACAGAAUGGUAACCUUCAGUUCGGCUGGCUUCCGCACAGGUGCUGCAUGGCUGUCGUCAGCUCGUGUCGUGAGAUGUUGGGUUAAGUCCCGCAACGAGCGCAACCCUCGUCCUAUGUUGCCAGCACGUAAUGGUGGGAACUCAUGGGAUACUGCCGGGGUCAACUCGGAGGAAGGUGGGGAUGACGUCAAAUCAUCAUGCCCCUUAUGUCUUGGGCUUCACGCAUGCUACAAUGGCCGGUACAGAGGGCUGCAAUACCGCAAGGUGGAGCGAAUCCCAAAAAGCCGGUCUCAGUUCGGAUUGAGGUCUGCAACUCGACCUCAUG
rnacentral:rRNA from 1 species